CAAGUGUCUGAAAUUUGUAUUCUCUACCAACAUUAUAGUAUUCUAGGAAGGUGAGCCAUAGUGACAACUCAGACAAAUGUCUGAACCUGCUCACAACAGAACAACUUUUGUCACAGUAAGAAGGGCCUUACAGUUAUGACAUGGGACAAGUUCUAUGGACUCUAUUCUUGGCUGUGCCGCAUGCAUCCUCUUUGGCCAAGGGAAUUCAUUUGACCUCACCAUGCCUCAGUCCUGAGAUCCCUAAGAAAAGAUGAGAAGAAAACAUGAGAACUUGGAUGUCCUUGGGAUAUGCAUUGGGAGGAGACAACCUCGUAACUGUGCAGUCAGCUCUUGCUCUCAUUCCCCUCUGUUAAUACAGCUAAAAGUAUAAAUAACUCUUUCAGUAUCUUUUUGAGUGUAAAGGGUGACUGUAAUCUCUGCAAGUCUACUGUGUGACCAUAAACAUAUUAAAAGGUCAAGCAGAGUCAACAAUGACAAAA